rnacentral:rRNA from 1 species
GCUAUCGAGGUUCGACUAAGCCAUGCGAGUCGAAUGUAGCAAUACAUGGCGAACUGCUCAGUAACACGUGGACAACCUGCCCUUAGGUUGGGUAUAAACCCGGGAAACUGGGUAUAAUACCCGAUAGGUCUCGAUUGCUGGAAUGCAUCGAGAUUUAAAGCUCCGGCGCCUAAGGAUGGGUCUGCGGCCUAUCAGGUAGUAGUGGGUGUAGCGUACCUACUAGCCUACGACGGGUACGGGUUGUGAGAGCAAGAGCCCGGAGAUGGAUUCUGAGACACGAAUCCAGGCCCUACGGGGUGCAGCAGGCGCGAAAACUUUACAAUGCUGGCAACAGCGAUAAGGGAACCUCGAGUGCCAGGUUACAAAUCUGGCUGUCGAGAUGCCUAAAAAGCAUUUCAUAGCAAGGGCCGGGCAAGACCGGUGCCAGCCGCCGCGGUAACACCGGCGGCUCGAGUGGUAACCGUUAUUAUUGGGUCUAAAGGGUCUGUAGCCGGCCGGAUAAGUCUCUUGAGAAAUCUGGCAGCUUAACUGUCAGGCUUUCAGGAGAUACUGUCUGGCUCGAGGCCGGGAGAGGUGAGAGGUACUUCAGGGGUAGGGGUGAAAUCUUGUAAUCCUUGAAGGACCACCAGUGGCGAAGGCGUCUCACCAGAACGGACCUGACGGCAAGGGACGAAAGCUAGGGGCACGAACCGGAUU